UCUUCAUGUAUGAAAAAUUCUUUCAAAAUUGGAAUAAAAAGGGAAACAAACAUCUCUAGGCAAAUAGUAAAUCACCUUUGUAAUUCAGAUUGUUUGCGACAAACACCACAAGAAAUAUGAGUUUCAAUAGCAGUAGAGGAUAACAUUUUUUGCCUUUACGCUAUGGUUGACAUACGCCUUAGUCUUAGAUAGCGUUUGUAUAUUUCGAAACGUUAUGAGAGAGUGGCAUAUUUGAAAACGCUAUAAUAGUGUAUGGUUUUAACACUUAGUUUUAAUAGCAAAACAUAAUUAAAAAAACAUGUUUGGCUAUUUAAAACCCUAAACUCAUAACAUAUUUUAAACCCUAAAUUAUAAACACAAAUCUAAAGCUCAAAUAUUUUCCUAUUUUAAUCUUAAAUCUUAAGUUUAAAUUUAAAUUUUAAUAUUUUCAAAAUUUAUUUUCAAUUCAAAUCUUAAAUCUAAAUCUCAAACCCUAAAUCCUUUACAUCUUUACAAACUCUAAACCCUAUAUCCCCAUUCAAACAUCAUAUAAACACUAAACUUUAAAUAAAAAAUCCCAAAUCUAAUAUUUCCAAGUUUUAAUAAGACAAAAAACUAAAAAAAUAAUUAUAAAUAUAUGAUCUUUUCAAAUUUUCUUUUUCAAACCUUAAAUAUAACCUUUGAACCCUAUCA
rnacentral:lncRNA from 1 species